UGAAAUUCAUGGCACGGGAUGGCUUGGGCCAUCAUCACUGCUGAAGUAACAAGGUCUUUCUUCCUGCACAUCUUUUCUCUUGCUCUCAAUUACACUGUUCACCCUGCACCAAUCUGCACACAUGUCAUGGUUUUGUGAUUUUUGGUUAUUGGUAUUCCACAUCAUAACAUCAUGUAGUGGACAUACCUAGUUCUCAGAAGAGAAGGACUACUACAGUCCCCACGGUACUUUGCUCCUUUGUUACCAUUUUCCAGCCGGAGGGAAAAGAUAGAAGCUCGCAGUAUAAAAACUUGCAGAUCACGAGACCUCGUCCCUUUUUCCGCCGUCUCUCGUCUUGGCAGCACCUCGCUCUCCAGCCGUCUUAUCGUCGGUAGUAGAGUAAGGCCUACCUUGAUUUUGGGACAUUCUCUCUCUCUGUGUUGGAUUUAUCAGCUUAAAUUGUAAUUAUAUUGUAUUAUAGUGUGUUGUUUUGCAUUCCGAUAUCUUAUUUAGUAAAUUAGUUUGUUUCUCCUCAGAUUGUUGCCGCUGUUCUUUGCUCUCAGGGCCAUCUCCCUACCCUUUUCCCCCUUUCCCCUUUUCCCGGGACGUGGGCCCUUGGGUCCCCUGUCCCCUUCGUCACGGAAUCGGGCCUAACGCCCGUAAACCGUUGACAACACAUAAGACCCCUAUCAUCCUUACUUGCCAGAAAAGUGAAUCAGUAGGAAAAAAAGGCCUUUUUCUUGAUUAGAGACAGGAUAGGGCUGCAUGGAGACAGAUAAGAAGAACACCUCUUCUGGAGACCAUAUCUCCAUAGCAAUUUUGUUUACAUCAAUCUCUGGUUUCAUGGGUAGAGUUGAUCUCUGCACUGAGAAUAGGGUCUACACCCAGGGGUACCGAACUACAUGCUUUAAUGUUCUUCUUACUAUUCUGCAUGUAUGGAAUCCAAUGCACAGCAUGAACAAAUGUGAAUCUCAUAUUUGGAGAAGCAUAGUUCUGAAGACAAAACAGAGGGAUUUCUUUGCAAAGAACAUCUACAGGCAUGCUGGCCAUCUUCUUGUGUACAAACAUGCACCUCUUCAGAGAAGUAGAGAAACUCAAGUGAGAACAAACCAUUUAAGUGUGGAAAAGGCUUAGGACAUCACAGAUGCUCACAUCAGUAUGGAAGCUUGUCAGGUCUUGAAAAUAAUUUCAAGCAAAACCCAUUUUAUGUGGAAGCAGAGUUUACCCUGAGACUGCUCUUAUGAAUCAAACACUGAUAAAUGGGGACAAUUUGGAAAUUCCCUUAGAGAAGUGCAUACUGGACAGACCUAAACAACUUGUGCAGACAUAUGGUUUAAAGUUCCAGCUGCUGCAUAGAAGUUUGCAGCCUUUUGAAUGCUCCAAACUCUUAAUGAACAAGAGAGACAAUUGAGACCAUGACAUCUUAAUUGAAAGGUAAAAUCACUACAUGCUGCAGCAGGAACCAAUCAAAACAUUGCAAUGUAAAACAAUGUAUAAACCUGGAAGCAAGAAGCAGAUUGAACCAUGAAGGAGAUACAAGGCAAGGCAUAAAACAGCUCUUUAGUAGUGCUUUGAAUUCAAAAUUCUACUACAGUCCUUUCACUAGCUUAAAAUUACAUUCAGGAAAACUUACCUGUGUUGUCAGCCAUUCAAGUAGGUACAAAAAAAUCCCGUUUCUAAUAUCCAAAUAUGUUCUUGGUUUUGGAAUGGUCUUCCUCCUCUUUUUGCGACUUCGUACAUAAUUUGAACAUAGAUGUACGUUUUCUAAAAUACAGGACGUAGAAAAGUCCUGGAAAGGAAAGUUCUUGAGUUGCAUUUUACAGUACUUGGAUAUUUUGUUGUUAGUGUUCUCAAUUUUGACAUUGAUGUUUGUCUUUAUUAAUGGAUCUCCUGGAAUUACUUCUGGUUCCUUCAUAUUUCAGUUAAUAAAUUAAGCAUCCCUAUUCCCUCCA
rnacentral:lncRNA from 1 species